UACAGAGGUCUCAAGCGUUGUUCGGAUUCAUUGGGCGUAAAGGGUGCGUAGGCGGCGCGGUAAGUCGGGUGUGAAAUUUCGAGGCUUAACUUCGAAACUGCAUUCGAUACUGCCGUGCUUGAGGACUGGAGAGGAGACUGGAAUUUACGGUGUAGCGGUGAAAUGCGUAGAUAUCGUAAGGAAGACCAGUGGCGAAGGCGGGUCUCUAGUACGGUACUGACGCUGAGACGCGAAAGCGUGGGGAGCGAACAGG
rnacentral:rRNA from 1 species